UACCAGCACCCCGAGUGGUCGGGACGUUUAUUGGGCCUAAAGCAUCCGUAGCCGGUUCUACAAGUCUUCCGUUAAAUCCAGCUGCUUAACAGAUGGGCUGCGGAAGAUACUAUGGAGCUAGGAGGCGGGAGAGGCAAGCGGUACUCGACGGGUAGGGGUAAAAUCCGUUGAUCCAUUGAAGACCACCAGUGGCGAAGGCGGCUUGCCAGAACGCGCUCGACGGUGAGGGAUGAAAGCUGGGGGAGCAAACCGG
rnacentral:rRNA from 1 species